CUUGAACGGCCAGCAGCUGCUCGUCUGUGGUCCAACGAGCAUUCACCUUCUGGUUACACUGCAAGAUUCAACAUCAGAGCCUCAGUGACGGACCAGUAAAAACUCUCAGUUUGUCUGAAGAACUAAAACGUAUGAGAGUCACAUUUCAUUUGCACACACAGGUGCUGAUUUAACCUUUCUUUGACUUACAGACAAUCCAUUACCACGAAGGAGAAAACUUUCCUACCACUGUCCAAAAUGGUUUACACUGAAGAACAGAGCUUGUGAUGAACUUCGUGUGAGUUUCAGUGCGUCUGUACCUCAGGCAGCCUGAAUUCUUCGAUCCCAGACUCCAGCAUGUGUUUCAGCCCACUGUUCAUCUGUUUGGCGUUUUGGACCUGAAGGGUCUCACCACCAGGUGUCAGCAGAGCCCUGGCAGAUCAGACAGGCAUCCGACUGGACGACUCAGGACACUGGUUGGGGUCUUUUACCUGUGCUCAAACAUUUUUCCCACCUGUGCUCAAACAUAUCGAGCUAGCCAGUCAGAACGCAGCUGAUAAGUUUUCUGUUCAAGAGCCAUGUUUCCUGCGGUGUCCUCUGAGAGGCUGAUAUUCUCUGUGCUGGUGUAUCGCAGGGGUUUUUAAAGUCAGACACUGUGGCAGUUCCCGAUGGCCAUCAGGGACAAACCAGUGACCAGACCACAGCAUGCAGCUGUCCUUUUCUAGUGUUUCGUAUAACCUCUGUAAAGAUGAGAGUCAGUGUGGAUCUGCUGUGGCAGGAAGGUUUCACCUGACUCUUCAUCUCCAGCAUGAAUAAAAUCUGUCAUUUGGCUCUGGAACCUGUGAGGUGUGGACAUGCUGCUGAAACAGAUGCUAAAGGAUCUUUUAUUAAUUUUUUUUUAAUCCCUGAGCAGGACAAAGGUUACUGUCGCGUCUCCAACCUGUCUCUUGAGGGACACUAGCUCCAUGUCCAGCUGACGAAGCAGGGUGUUGGCGGCAGAGGCGCUGCAGGACACGGCCACCACGUCUUCCUGGGUCAGGUACAUGCCUUUGGGGGGGCGGCAGCGGGAGCGCUGGUGGUGUCGGUGCUGCAGGGUCUGGUGCUCCCGUCGACCCAGAGCCACCUUAGAGCCUGGUACCGUCACCUCCACCUGGUUCUGAAGUCGCUGUCGUUGGCUUCGAUGGGAUUGGCAUCCUCCAUCUCUUCAUCACUACGGCAACAAUAAGCCAAAAUUCAGUUGCUACAUGUCGUCACACAACCACCGCCACCGCACAGAAACCAAAGCCACACGGUGUCAAAGCCACAGGAAGUAUCUGAUGAUCAAGUCUCGAUCGUUUUUCAAGCUAAAAGGACAAAAACUCUCAGGUGUCUGCUUCUGCAGUGUGAAGACCUGUUGGCUUUCUCUGUUUUAUCUCCUUAUGAACAUGGUGUGUUUGAGUUUGCUGCCGCCUCUGCGUGACAGUGUGUGUGUCAGGGGUCGGCGCCGAUCCGUGAGCCGUACCUGUCGUCCUGGUUGCUCCUGUUGGCCAGUUUGCGAGCCUGUCGGUCCAUGAGACUGGUUCUGGAGCGAGUCUUCUUCCACGAGUAGUAGUACUUCACCAGACUGGAGAUGGACUUGUCCGGUAACUGAACGAAACACCGUAAAAUUCAACUGUUACAACCAACAAGUUCUGAGCCACAUGGAGUCUUCUGGAUGAAAACACAGGUGUUUACCAUCUGCUGGAUGCGGUGGAAGCUCUUCCCGUGGAAGCUGAAGGCCUGUUCAAACAGCACCUUGUCCUCCACCGUCCACUCGUCCGGAAACGGAGUGAAGUUCGGCAGGUCAGCCAGAGACUUCUCUAU